rnacentral:rRNA from 1 species
GCUUGCUCUUUGCUGACGACCGGCGCACGGGUGCGUAACGCGUAUACAAUCUACCUUGUACAGGAGGAUAGCCCUAAGAAAUUGGGAUUAAUACUCCAUAGUAUUCAAUAACCGCAUGGUUUGUUGAAUUAAAACUCCGGUGGUAUAAGAUGAGUAUGCGUCCUAUUAGCUAGAUGGUAAGGUAACGGCUUACCAUGGCGACGAUAGGUAGGGGGCCUGAGAGGGUUACCCCCCACACUGGUACUGAGACACGGACCAGACUCCUACGGGAGGCAGCAGUGAGGAAUAUUGGUCAAUGGAGGCAACUCUGAACCAGCCAUGCCGCGUGAAGGAAGAAUGUCCUAUGGAUUGUAAACUUCUUUUAUUUGGGAAGAAACCCCUCUACGUGUAGAGGGCUGACGGUACCAAACGAAUAAGGACCGGCUAACUCCGUGCCAGCAGCCGCGGUAAUACGGAGGGUCCAAGCGUUAUCCGGAAUCAUUGGGUUUAAAGGGUUCGCAGGCGGUUUAUUAAGUCAGUGGUGAAAGCCUACAGCUCAACUGUAGAACUGCCAUUGAUACUGAUAGACUUGAAUUUAGUUGGAGUAGGCGGAAUGUGUAGUGUAGCGGUGAAAUGCUUAGAUAUUACACAGAACACCGAUAGCGAAGGCAGCUUACUAAACUACGAUUGACGCUCAUGAACGAAAGCGUGGGGAGCGAACAGGAUUAGAUACCCUGGUAGUCCACGCAGUAAACGAUGAUUACUCGUUAUUGGCGAUACACGGUCAGUGACUAAGCGAAAGUGAUAAGUAAUCCACCUGGGGGAGUACGGUCGCAAGAUUGAAACUCAAAGGAAUUGACGGGGGCCCGCACAAGCGGUGGAGCCAUGUGGUUUAAUUCGAUGAUACGCGAGGAACCUUACCAGGGCUUAAAUGCAAAUUGACAGUUCCAGAAAAUGGAAUUUUCUUCGGACAGUAUGCAAGGUGCUGCAUGGCUGUCGUCACUCGUGCCGUUGAGGUGGUUGGGGUUAAGUCCCGCAACGAGCGCAACC